AAGUCCUUCUUAACUAACAUCAAGCAUUUUCACUCAGCACUUCUACUAGCAUCACUCACUCAUUUCACUCUUUCUAUCCAAAACCGAGCCCUGUAGUGAUGUGAGGAGAGGAGGGGAUGACGGGAGGAGGAGGAGGAGAGGGAGAGGGAGGGCUGAGGGGAGUGUGAGGAAACCCUCGACUCCGGGACAGAGAGGCUGACAGGCGGUGAAAGCCCUCCACCACUGGCUGCUGCUGCUGCUGCUGCUUUCUGUGAUUGGCUCAGUGCGGUGAGUCUCGGGCUCGUGGGGAGAGACGGGAUCACCAAGAACGCAUCGUGGUUUGAGGACUCUCAGCAGCUCACAGGCUCGCGCCCUCCCGCCGCCGCCGCCGCUGUGUUUCAGCGCUCUAUUGUCUCCAAACACCGAGAGAAAAGUGGAUCCUUAUUCCAGGUGUAUCAGUGGAGUUGGGCGAGGAAGACUCCACAUAAGAUGAGGAAGAGCAGAAGUGUGCUGAAUGUGUCGCCUGAGAUUUCCACUGAGGCUGGAUGCAGCAGCAUUAGCAUUAGCAGCUAACCGCUAGUGCUAGUGCCAGUACCGCCCGACAGCAC
rnacentral:lncRNA from 1 species